GAUGAACGCUGGCGGCGUGCCUAAUACAUGCAAGUCGAGCGAAGCGGGGACGGGUGAGUAACACGUGGAUAACCUCCUAUAAGACUGGGAUAACUUCGGGAAACCGGAGCUAAACCGGAUACUUAUAGAUGGAUCCGCGCUGCAUUAGCUAGUUGGUAAGGUAACGGCUUACCAAGGCAACGAUGCAUAGCCGACCUGAGAGGGUGAUCGCCCACACUGAACCGGGAACCCGUUCAAGACCCCUAGGGGAGGCAGCAGUAGGGAACCUUCCGCAAGGGGGGAAGGCCUGACGGACCAACGCCGCGUGAGUGAUGAAGGCAUCGGAACCGAAAACCUCUGUUAUUAGGGAAGCGGUACCUAAUCAGAAAGCACGGCUAACUACGUGCCAGCAGCCGCGGUAAUUC
rnacentral:rRNA from 1 species